UCCAAUCGGAAUCUGCCUGGUCCCCUGCGUAAACAUUACCACCACAGCCGACUUCGGACUGUCAAGGUGACCGCGCUGGAUGUGGGGGCUGGGAAGAAAUGCACACUGGGCAUCAGGGAGACAGGAUACACAAAGGCCUGAGUAGGAAGUGAUGUGUUUUGAAUUUUCUCCUUUCCAUGUCUCUGGAGUAUGUGAGUGGAAAACUAUUUGUAUUAUUUUUUACAAAGGAAAACUGUUCUGGUUAAGGUCCUUGCUUCUCUUCCUGCUUCCUGUUUGCCAUGAUGCAAGCAGCCUCCUUCCGCCAUGCCUCCCUGCCAUGCUGUUCCUGCCCUGAGACGGCCAACCGUGAACUGUA